rnacentral:lncRNA from 1 species
AUGAGAUCUUUCGAUCAAUAAAAAAUCUGAUCUUUGGAUCGGUGAGCUCCGAAGGGCAAAGGUGGAGAUAAGAUUUUCUGAUCAAUGAAAAUCUCAUCCUCAGAUCUGUGAACCUCGGAGGGCCAAGAUCAAGACAAGAUCUUCUGAUCAAUAAAAAUCUAAUUUCUGGAUUGGUAAGCCUCGAAGGGCACGGAGAUGAGAUCUUUCAAUUAAUAAAAAUCUGAUCUCC